rnacentral:rRNA from 1 species
GCCUACAGCCAUGCCAUCCUGAACAAGCCCGAUGUCUGAUCUCGGAAGCUAAGCAGGGUCGGGCCUAAUUAGUACUUGGAUGGGAGACCACCUAGGAAGACCAGGUGCUGCAGGCA